GACGAACGCUGGCGGCGUGCUUAACACAUGCAAGUCGAACGGAAAGGCCCUGCUUUUGUGCGGUGCUCGAGUGGCGAACGGGUGAGUAACACGUGAGUAACCUGCCCUUGACUUUGAGAUAACUUCAGACAACAGGGGCUAAUACGGGAUAGGAGCUCCUGCUGCAUGGUGGGGGUUGGAAAGUUUCGGCGGUUGGGGAUGGACUCGCGGCUUAUCAGCUUGUUGGUGGGGUAGUGGCUUACCAAGGCUUUGAAGGGUAGCCGGCCUGGUUGGGGGACCUGCCACGUUGGGCCUGAGAUGCGGCCCAGACUCCUACGCGACGCAGCGGUGGGGUAGAUUGCACAAUGGGCGGAAGCCUAAUGCAGCAACGCCGCGUGCGGGAUGACGGCCUUCGGGUUGUAAUCCGCUUUCGCCUGUGCCGAAGCGUUAGUGACGGUAAUGGGUAAAGAAGCACCGGCUAACUACGUG
rnacentral:rRNA from 1 species